rnacentral:rRNA from 1 species
CCUACGGGACGCAGCAGUCGGGAAUAUUGCGCAAUGGAGGAAACUCUGACGCAGUGACGCCGCGUAUAGGAAGAAGGUUUUCGGAUUGUAAACUAUUGUCGUGAGGGAAGAAGAUGACAGUACCUCAGGAGGAAGCUCCGGCUAACUAUGUGCCAGCAGCCGCGGUAAUACAUAGGGAGCAAGCGUUAUCCGGAAUUAUUGGGUGUAAAGGGUGCGUAGACGGGAAAUUAAGUUAGUUGUGAAAUCCCUUGGCUUAACUGAGGAACUGCAACUAAAACUAUUCUCCUUGAGUGUCGGAGAGGAAA